rnacentral:rRNA from 1 species
CGGGUGAGUAACGCGUGGGUAACCUGCCUCAUACAGGGGGAUAACAGUUAGAAAUGACUGCUAAUACCGCAUAAGCGCACAGUGCUGCAUGGCACGGUGUGAAAAACUCCGGUGGUAUGAGAUGGACCCGCGUCUGAUUAGCUAGUUGGUGGGGUAACGGCCUACCAAGGCGACGAUCAGUAGCCGGCCUGAGAGGGUGAACGGCCACAUUGGGACUGAGACACGGCCCAA